ACAGUCACUAAAUACCUUAGUGCCAUCACCCAGGCCCUCGAGAAUGACAAUUCCCCCCAGAAAAUCUGUGUGAAAAUCAGGAUGUGCAGACCAGAAAUAGGUCUUGGAGCCUCUGGGGCCUUACCCGACCCCCAGGAGAAGCACAGCAUCUUCAACAACCAUCACCAGCUCCUGCCUUCCUAAAUCCAGGGUAGACCCUCCAGUUUCCCUCACCAAACUCUUUGUAGCGCCCUCCCCUGGUAUAGAAUAAAAUGUCAUGCAAACUUGUA